rnacentral:misc_RNA from 1 species
AACUGAUACUACCUGCGGGAACCUGCGGAGGGAUCAUUAACAAAUCCAUUCAACCAUUUACCAUGUUGAAACAAACAGGUUCUUUACGCUGCCUUUUGAACCUGGACGACAUGCUCAAGGUAAUUAAACCUUUGGGUUGUGUCUGUCAAAGCAAUAAAAGCAUGCAUUGGUGCUGGUCGGUCAAGUGAACGCUGAUCUCGAUCGGUUAACACUCCUUUCGUGGAUGGAAGGGGUACCUAA